UAUAAUCAGGAAAUGUAGAAUUCAACCAUUCAAGACGUUCGUCAUUAAUAUGUAUAUAUGGCGCUACUGCACUAUCCAGACAACGAAUGUAAUCAUCUUUUCUUGAGACGUUAUGAAUUCUGAAGAAAUAAUACAUAUUCUCCAUAAACCGUAAAGAAGAUGUCACAGCUGGAGAAAAAAUUUGUAUUGCACGUAAAACAUUCAUUUUUUUGAAAUUAGAAGGAUAGAGAUGUUUUUUAGUAGGAAGAUGAAAUUGUGCCUUGGGAGGAACUCAUGUCAUGUCGAG